ACUCCUACGGGAGGCAGCAGUGGGGAAUAUUGCACAAUGGGCGCAAGCCUGAUGCAGCCAUGCCGCGUGUGUGAAGAAGGCCUUCGGGUUGUAAAGCACUUUCAGUCGUGAGGAAGGUAGUGUAGUUAAUAGCUGCAUUAUUUGACGUUAGCGACAGAAGAAGCACCGGCUAACUCCGUGCCAGCAGCCGCGGUAAUACGGAGGGGGUUAGCGUUGUUCGGAAUUACUGGGCGUAAAGCGCGCGUAGGCGGACUGGAAAGUUGGGGUGAAUCCCAGGGCUCAACCCUGGAACUGCCUCCAAAACUAUCAGUCUAGAGUUCGAGAGAGGUGAGUGGAAUUCCGAGUGUAGAGGUGAAAUUCGUAGAUAUUCGGAGGAACACCAGUGGCGAAGGCGGCUCACUGGCUCGAUACUGACGCUGAGGUGCGAAAGUGUGGGGAGCAAACAGGAUUAGAUACCCUGGUAGCUACGAGU
rnacentral:rRNA from 1 species